rnacentral:lncRNA from 1 species
AGGGAGAGAAGAAGGAGGGAGAGAGGAGGGAGGGGAGGGGGAGGAAGGGGAGAGAGAGAGAGAGAGAGAGAGAGAGAGAGAGAGAGAGAGAUCAACCCCUGUCUAUUCCACCCUGAGGAUCUUUGUGACUAUAGUUUGUAUUUAUAUGAACAGUGCCAGUGCUCAGUGCUAUGCCCCUUUGCAUUCAGUCCUCUGAGUGGCCCUAGGAGGUGGUGACUACCUUUGGGUCCACAACACUGAAAGGAGUUAGAGCAUUACCCUGGUCAGCCCAGGUGCUCCAGGUUAGCCCAGGUGCCCCAGGGACAGUAGGCUGACUCUCGGUGGGGCUGGAGUUUAGAACUUCUGGUAUCUGACCCCAGAGCCCAUGGUGAAGACCCCAUAUCCAUUCACACAGUAGGUAUGAGAGAUGAGACAUUUCCUCCCGAGGUACAGCAGAUGCUCCAAGGAGAGAAUGUGGAGAAGAUGGAGGAAACAGAACAGUCUAGGAGGGAGGGCCCACAAUCUAGGAGCAUAAUGUUUCUCUGAGGGAGUGCGGGGGGGGGGGGGGAGUGGAGGGGACGACAACUGAAUUCUCUAGAAACCAUUGUACAUCAAAGAAAAGCAGGUGCUGAGCUCUCCUGAGACCUCAGCUGAGGGGCCAGGAAGUCACAGUCUGCUUGUUGGUGUGUCUGUGGGCCUGUGUGGGGCCCAGGCUUUGUUACAUGGUGGGGUUCCUAUCUGCUCAGCAGUAGAUCCAGCCUAGAAAAGGCGUGGUUUGCAGAGGUCCCACGGGGGGGCUCUAGUGCACUAGGGUUGAACCACUCACUUCCUCAGUGGCUCACAGCCAGACAGAGCCAAAACAGAUGGGCCUGGUUCAAACCAGUUCCUGUCAGCCCCUGGUCACUCCCUGGGUCCUGCACCUACUCUGGCUUGUGUCUGGUGUCAGUUUUGAUUGGUGGACAUCUGUUCCUCUCUAUGAGGAGGGCCUCCUCGGGGGUGGGCAUUGAUAUAACUGCAAGUGGUAAGAGGGCUUGAAGUGGGGGAAGCUUGGGGGAAUUCCCUGAGAGAGGAGCAGUGAUCUGAUUUGGGAUCAAGCCCUCUGUCUUCUGUUUCUGAAUCUGGCAGGCUGUGGUGGGGAGGCAUACCAAAGGGAGGAGCCACCAUCUUUUGGUGUGUUUCUAAGGAGAAAAUUGGGUUUCUAUGGUACUUUCUAGAGCUGAGGUCUAAACAAGACCCAAGGUCUGAAAGUCUACAGACGGGUGAGGAGAAACCUUGCCAGAGCCUCACACACAAAAGGCAAAGCAAAGAAAGGGCUUUCUGUUAGACAGUGAGAUCCCAGGUCUGCAGCCUGCGUGAAGGUACAUGUCCAAGGGACAUGUCAUAUCUGUAGCCAUUCCUAUGCUGGGCUUGAAUUGUAUGGUGGGUCUGUAAAGUACUUUCUCUACCUGGAUGUGUCCUGGAUCCCUCAUCUGACCAGAUGCUGCCUUCAUCCCAUCCAUCCAUCCAUCCAUCCAUCCAUCCAUCCAUCCAUUUACCCAUCUUAUCCAUACAGAUACGUAUAAGUCAAUUAUGCACACACACACACACACAGAGAGAGAGAGAGAGAGAGAGAGAGAGAGAGAGAGGGAGAGAGAGAGAGAGAGAGAGAGAGAGAGAGAGAGAGGAUAUAGCUUACAGGAGGCCAGAUGUGUUCCCGUGCAGUGCUUCAGAGAUUUCAGCCCACAGUUGCUUGGUCCCAUCACUGUGGAUUUGUGGUGAGGUGAAGUAUCAUGGUGGAAACAGUGAAGCAGCUCAGCUUACCUCGUGGCAGGCAGGAUGCACAGAGAGACAACACACACCCUUCUGAGGCUCCUCGAGAUCAGCUUCUGUCCAUUAGGUCCUACCCCACAAAGCUUCCACUCCUCCUAAGAGAGCCACAAAACCUUCAGCAGAGAAACCUUUUGAGUUUGCUACAUAGUAAAAACACCAACUGUCAUCCAUCCACCUGCACAGAAUGUCUGGUUUUGAGUGAGACUUUGGAAAACAGAGAUAAAAUAAGAUGUAGCUGCUCUCCUUAGAACCUGAAAGGAAGGCAGAAGGCAGAGCACCUGGCUUCAGUGGAGAUGCGGGCAAAGCAGAUGGCUACAUGGUCAGCCUGGUGGAGAAGCUGGAGGUGAGUCCUGCCGUGAGGGCUCAGGAGUCUGCACAGAAGAGCUGGGCACACGGGCAUGAUUUGAACAGGGUCUCCAAGGGAGAAUGUAAAGGGGAGAAUUGUUCUGAGCAGGGCAUCUGUAUGUGCAAAGGCACUGAGCCACCACCGCUGUGGGUGUGGCACAUCUAGAACAUCUGGAGGGGAGAUCCCGCCAGUGUGCAUGAGGAAGAAAGGAAGCGACUGAGUUACAAGGUGGUACCCAAGAGAGGCAGCCUUCCACUGUGUACUGUGGGAUGAAGACAUUCCCUGACAGCCAGUGAGUGUCCAUAAGUGUCUGCCUCAUGGACCAUGCAUCCUGGGCCCUGCCGGGCUAUCCCUCUCAGCCACCCACCUGGUACUGCCCUCCUUCUCUGCCUUCUUGACCAGGUCAUGCGAUAUUGAUAAUGAGGAAGAGAGAAGGGGGUGGUUUCUGGGAGCGACCUAUGAGAACUGAGCCUAGUGGGCAGUGGCCUGGGCCUGGGGAUAUGGCAACUUCCUGAGCAGACUUGGCUUGCCCAGAAAGGGAUGGACCUGACUCAGCUCCGUUCUCACAGCCUCACCCCAGACAGGAACAAGCGCUGUGCUGUCUGUCACCUUUUAUUACAAAACCUUCUGAAAUUCUCCAAAUCGUCUCGCCGGUUAUCGUGUUCAACCACAGUGUGCUUGCAGGAGCCUCGAGCUGGAACCACAAGGCAGCCACAGUGCGUCGGGGACUUCUGUUCUGUGCCCAGGAGGGCCCCCCUCCUUUCUCCUCCCCACUAGGCAAGUUUUGCCAUGCUUCCUUCUCCCUCCCCCCUCCUCCUCCUCUUCCCCUCCUCCUUGAGUCAGAUAGUGUAGGGAUGUAAGGCGAGUCCCUCUUGCUGGGGAUGGAUCUGCAGAAGAUCUGUGGGGGCUGUGAGGCUUGCAGGGGUGCUGGAGUUCUGAGAGGAGCAGAAAGCUAGGGGGAGGGGAGGAGGAGGAAGCCAUUGGUUGGUCUCAUGUGCUCAAAGCUUUGCAGCAGGCAGGUUCUGGACUCCGUGCCAGGGCCUCUCCCAGGACUGGAGGUGGGUAGGGUUGUUCUGAUUGCUCCACCCAUUCCUCCCUGUGCUUGUGGGGCUCUGUGUAGUAACUGCCCCCUGGGAACUUGUAUACAGCAAAAUGGAAAGCAGAGGCUGAUUUCUUUCUACUUAAUCUGUGUGGGGCCAGGGAGAAAACAAGGGGUUCAGCACGGAGUCUUUCUUCCCUUUGGGGUCUGGCUAGGGAAACAGAUGCACAUGUCAGGCAAGUUCAGGAGACCUUUUAAUAAGCUCUCUGCUCCCUUCCCAUUGGGAUCCCAUCUCACAGCCGCUGGGCUCCUAACUCCAGGUAGCAACCACUCUAUAGCCCCGUCUGGCUCCUUUCCCAAGGAAGAGCAGUAUCCCACCAUUGUCCAGGAGCAGGGCAGCGUCUGUGAACAGGUACCUUCCGUGGGAUCAGCAGCUUCACUUCUGAAGUGAGACCCCUUCCGUGGCGAGGCUGGACUCCAUUGUUUUACUUUGUUUUCUUUUAUUCUGUUUUGAGACAGGGUCUCACACUGUGUCCCAGACUGGUCUGAAACUAUCUAUGUGUAGCCCAGGCAGAAGUGGCAUACGCAGCAAUUCUCCUGUCUCAGUGUCCUGGCUGCUGAGCUUGCAGGCUGACAGUGAGUAGUCUGAGAGAAACGGAU